rnacentral:lncRNA from 1 species
CCGCGGGCGCCCUGAGGGUCGGCCAUGCCCAGGCGCUGCGGCCCCGCGACACCCAGGACACUGUGCGAUGAAUGGCCAGUAAUGAUGAACAAAGGCGCCUGCACUGGCAGGCACGGGCCCCAAGGUCUGCCCUGCUCUGUCAGAAGGUUUCCGUAAAGACGCGUCUGAGAGAGAAGGUGAGAGCUGGGCUGGACUCCGUACACUGUCCGUCGUGCCCCAGGCUCUCUUGGGGAGAGCGGAGCGUUUCCUUAGGUUUCAGAGAAGAAGAAUAAAAGUCUCUGGCUGCAUUGUCACCAAAACCACCAAGGAUGUGCAGCCACCUUCGGGCUUUCUGAGAAGUAGGGAAGCGACACUGGACCCCUAAUGGCUCUUCCCCCACAGUGCUGCUCUCCUGCCUCCCACCUGCUGCUUUCAUCUCCUCUUGCUUUCCUCAAGACCAUUCUGCAGCCCUGGAAUCUGUUCUUAUAAUUCAUUAGGAAAGAAGUUGCUCCACAAAUUACUACCUGAUCACCACCCUCCAGACACCUCUGCCUCACUUUGUCCUCACGUGCUGUUUGUGGUUGCACAUUGAGCAUCUGCUUUGUGCAGAGCGGACACUGGUGAAGGAUCCUGAAGGGGAGAAGCCCUCAACCUUGCCUUCAGGGAGCUUAUGGUAGUGUGUUCAUUUGCUCUAGGCUUCUGCCUUCUGGUUCCCUGCUGACCUACACAGUGACCUGGACUCAGCGCCAUGCUCAUCACUCAGGUUGCAGCUGACACCUGUCGCGAAUGCCUUCUUCCACGCCUAGUUCAUCAGCAGCCCCCUUUUCAAAAUAUGUGCAGAACCUAACCCCACUUGGGACCCUAGUGCAGGCUGACCUUCACCCCUCUGCUUGUCUCCCUGCUUAGUUCUCACCUCAUCUCACACACACAAUCAGUGAUAUCUUAAGCACAAGUCACGUCUCACGGGCCCUGGUGGCUUCCAGGUCUACUGGGGUUUACCUCACUGUCCACUAGGCCAUCCAGUGUCUCUGGACCGCUGGAGCCCCACUGGUUACCCUGAUUCUUUUUCCUUUUUUCUGCACGGAGUGUGCUACCUCCAGCGAUGGCUCAGAGACUGAGCUCUGCUUAAAUGAGUGCCUCAGAGAGACCCAUCCUGGCCGUCAUUCUUCCAGCACUUAUUGCCACAGUAUACCUGGGGACACUGAGCGCUGCAGAGUGCCCUGCUCCGAGUGGAGCACUUUGUAUGCAGCUCUUGAAAUCUUCUCAACAGCCACAGGUUUGGGAUGCUCAGGACAGCUGGGGCCUUCUAACAGUCCUUUUCAAACUAAUGCACUGGGAAGCUUGUUAGAAUGCAGAUUUUGGCUGGAGUAGACUGCAUUCUUCUUAGCCCAGGAGGAAGGGCCUUGGGACUUGCUGCUCUUAGUGUAGGCUUGGCCUUGCCACUUGCUGGGCUCCGGCAGGCCUGAAGUGCUGCUGCCUUGCUAACAGGCCACAGGUGCUGCCCAGGACAGCACUAGUUCCAACACUGAGUAGGAAGCGCCAUUAUUUCUCCAGCUGUGUCGUCUUGGGCUGGUUGUUUCCCU